GAUUCAGUGAGUCCUACCAUACCAUCACAGUUUCAUUUGAGUCCAGAAGCUAAGCAGGGUAUAGCCUGGCUGAUACAUGGAUGGGAGACCAUCUGGGAAUACCAAGGAUGUUCAAACU
rnacentral:rRNA from 1 species